rnacentral:rRNA from 1 species
GGUGUACAUAUCAAUAAGCGGAGGAAAAGAAACCAACAGGGAUUGCCCUAGUAACGGCGAGUGAAGCGGCAACAGCUCAAAUUUGAAAUCUGGCCUUCGGGUCUGAGUUGUAAUUUGUAGAGGAUGCUUUUGGCGCGGUGCCUUCCGAGUUCCCUGGAACGGGACGCCUUAGAGGGUGAGAGCCCCGUACGGUUGGACACCAAGCCUCUGUAAAGCUCCUUCGACGAGUCGAGUAGUUUGGGAAUGCUGCUCUAAAUGGGAGGUAAAUUUCUUCUAAAGCUAAAUAUUGGCCAGAGACCGAUAGCGCACAAGUAGAGUGAUCGAAAGAUGAAAAGCACUUUGAAAAGAGGGUUAAAUAGCACGUGAAAUUGUUGAAAGGGAAGCGUUUGCGACCAGACUUUUUCCUAGCGGAUCAUCCGGUGUUAUCACCGGUGCACUUUGCUAGGUUAAGGCCAGCAUCGGUUUCUGUAGGGGGAUAAAAGCUUGGGGAAUGUAGCUCCCUCGGGAGUGUUAUAGCCCUUUGCAUAAUACCCUUACAGGGACCGAGGACCGCGCUUUUGCAAGGAUGCUGGCGUAAUGGUUGUCAACGACCCGUCUUGAAACACGGACCAAGGAGUCGAACAUUUGUGCGAGUGUUUGGGUGUUAAACCCUCACGCGUAAUGAAAGUGAACGGAGGUGAGAGCCCUUACGGGUGCAUCAUCGACCGAUCCUGAUGUCUUCGGAUGGAUUUGAGUAAGAGCAUAACUGUUCGGACCCGAAAGAUGGUGAACUAUGCGUGGAUAGGGUGAAGCCAGAGGAAACUCUGGUGGAGGCUCGCAGCGGUUCUGACGUGCAAAUCGAUCGUCAAAUCUGCGCAUGGGGGCGAAAGACUUAUCGAACCAUCUAGUAGCUGGUUACCCCGAUCUUUUCUCCCCCGCUGGGG